AGAAACUUGGAUGGAGUCCAUUUGUCGUGGAGAUCUGCUGUUGGGAAAGUUCGGCCACUGACGAACUGACGAAGUUCUGGAAGAAAUUCGGAUUGGAGUCGAUCGAAUCCUGUUGGAAAAGAUCUGGAAGAGGUCCGGAGAACAGUUGACCCUUGUAGGAAGUUGGCCGAUAGUAGAAUCUAGAGAGCACUUGGAGUAGCCUGAUAGA
rnacentral:lncRNA from 1 species